GGAUGGAACCAAGAAUAAACGGCCCAGCAAGGAAAAUCAAUGGGGCCACCAAGGAAUAGGUCACAAAAACCAUUUUGAAGACGUCGCUACGGUGGGUGCGGUAAUGCGCUCAGGUCGCGACAAAAUAAUUGUCCAGCUCUAUGGAGUACACUCUGAUCCCUACAACGAAAUGUUGCGAGAAUAUCUAAAAGAGAAAAAUAACAUUCAAAUCGAACGUCUUGUAGGAGAGAAAGCAGCGUUCAAUGCUUUACAAGUAGGGGACCUUCCUUCCUUAUAAUAUUAAAAAUAUCGGUUUUUUAUUUCACAAGUGCUGAAGCGGGUUAUGAUGUUUGUAAUUUGUACUUGGAAAAGCUACAGUGCUCCGGGAUGGAGACGACUGGCUAUUGGGUAACGAUAUUAAUUGUAUAUAUCUUUAAGCAUUAUAUGGGUAGUCUAUAUACUUUUCUUCAAUAUCGCACAUUUAUUUUAUAUAGACCGACCUGAUUCCGUUAGAUCAAGCUUGUCCUCUUCAGCGCGGCAUAUUUUAUUCGGGUCAAGGGAUAUCAUAAUGCACUGUGAAAAGAAAUAUGAAAAGUCAACGACAAAAGAUAUUGUGAACUCUUUUGAAAAACUGAAUUCAUUAUUUUGUCAGUAUGUCGUCGCCGAUUGUUGUGAAGUGCCUACGGCAAUGGAAAAUAUUGAGACGCAGUUGGUAACAGAGUUAGAUAAGUAUAUAAAGAAAAUGCGGUCCUUGAAAGGGAAGCCUCCCAGCCUUGUUGAGCUAAUCCGUCGUUCAAUUCUUAAAUUUAUAGAUGACGUUUAUACCAAAACUGAAGGCCCUCUGUUUGUUAAAGCGGGAGAGCUUAGAACUGUAGGGCUGACUGCCUGAGCCUUCAGUAUUAACAAAUCCUCUAUUUGUGUGUUUUGCAGACUUUAAAAAUAAUGGCAAUCCAAGAUUUCCAUCUUGUAGAACAGUGAAAAAACAAUUCCUCUUUUUAAAGAGGUUGGGUUGUCACUUUUCUAGGAACUUUUUCUAGGAACUUUUUUUUAUUAUCUUACGAGAUCCUUAGUCCCGUUGUAAUUUGGAUUAAGGAUGAGACUUAGAACUCGUAAAAUGUUAUGGUGUGUUGUGAUUAUAAACUUAUUAUUAUUA